CCGUGCAGCCGGGGAGAUAGCGGUGCCCUGUACCUGCAAUCCGCUAUAGCAGGGGUGUUGUCUUGCCUAGGGUCUUUCGAUGAGGAGCUGCCCUUUAUAAGUGGCGUUGACAUUCGGGUC
rnacentral:SRP_RNA from 1 species